UUGAGCUGUAUGCAGGGAAACUUGCACGUACAGUUCUUAGGGGGAAUGGCACUUACUUAAGCCUAC
rnacentral:ncRNA from 1 species